rnacentral:rRNA from 1 species
GACGAACGCUGGCGGCGUGCUUAACACAUGCAAGUCGAACGGAAAGGCCCUGCUUUUGUGGGGUGCUCGAGGGGCGAACGGGUGAGUAACACGUGAGUAACCUGCCCUUGACUUUGGGAUAACUUCAGGAAACUGGGGCUAAUACCGGAUAGGAGCUCCUGCUGCAUGGUGGGGGGUGGAAAGUUUCGGCGGUUGGGGAUGGACUCGCGGCUUAUCAGCUUGUUGGUGGGGGAGUGGCUUACCAAGGCUUUGACGGGUAGCCGGCCUGAGAGGGUGACCGGCCACAUUGGGACUGAGAUACGGCCCAGACUCCUACGGGAGGCAGCAGUGGGGAAUAUUGCACAAUGGGCGGAAGCCUGAUGCAGCAACGCCGCGUGCGGGAUGACGGCCUUCGGGUUGUAAACCGCUUUCGCCUGUGACGAAGCGUGAGUGACGGUAAUGGGUAAAGAAGCACCGGCUAACUACGUG